rnacentral:rRNA from 1 species
AGAGUUUGAUCCUGGCUCAGGACGAACGCUGGCGGCGUGCUUAACACAUGCAAGUCAACGAGAAUUGAACUGCUUGCAGUUCAAGGGCAGUGGCGAACGGGUGAGUAACGCGUAGAUAACCUACCUUUUAGAUUGGGAUAAUCCAUGGAAACGUGGACUAAUACCGAAUGUAGUCUUAAGGUCGCAUGAUUUUGAGAUAAAAGAUCUUGAAUCGCUAAAAGAUGGGUCUGCGUGACAUUAGCUAGUUGGAGAGGUAACGGCUCCCCAAGGCAUCGAUGUCUAGCUGGUCUGAGAGGAUGAUCAGCCACACUGGGACUGAGAUACGGCCCAGACUCCUACGGGAGGCAGCAGUGAGGAAUAUUGCACAAUGGGGGCAACCCUGAUUUAUUGACGGUAGCGAUAGAGGAAGCUCCGGCUAACUCCGUGCCAGCAGCCGCGGUAAUACGGAGGGAGCGAGCGUUGUCCGGAUUUAUUGGGCGUAAAGGGCAUGUAGGUGGUACAGCCAGUCAGUUGUUAAAUAUUACGGCUUAACCGUAUUCUGCAAUUGAUACUUCUGUUCUUGAGUUUGUGAGGGGAUGAUGGAAUGCCUAGUGUAGCGGUGGAAUGCGUAGAUAUUAGGUAGAACACCAGUGGAGAAGUCGAUCAUCUGGCACAAUACUGACACUGAUAUGCGAAAGCGUGGGUAGCAAACAGGAUUAGAUACCCUGGUAGUCCACGCCGUAAACGAUGGGCACUAGGUGUCCGGGGACUAGUCCCCCGGGUGCCGCAGCUAACGCGUUAAGUGCCCCGCCUGGGGAGUACGCCGGCAACGGUGAAACUCAAAGGAAUUGACGGGGGCCCGCACAAGCGGUGGAGCAUGUGGUUUAAUUCGAUGCAACGCGAAGAACCUUACCUGGGCUUGAACCGCAGAUGACGUUAUUAGAGAUAAUAAUUUUCUAGCAAUAGAACAUCUGUAGAGGUGCUGCAUGGCUGUCGUCAGCUCGUGUCGUGAGAUGUUGGGUUAAGUCCCGCAACGAGCGCAACCCUUAUCAUUAGUUGCCAUCGAGUAAUGUCGGGGACUCUAAUGAGACUGCCUACGUUAAGUAGGAGGAAGGUGGGGAUGACGUCAAGUCCUCAUGGCCUUUAUGUCCAGGGCUACACACGUGCUACAAUGGGCGGUACAGAGCGACGCUACACCGCGAGGUGAUGCAAAUCGCAAAAACCGUUCUCAGUUCGGAUCGCAGUCUGCAACUCGACUGCGUGAAGUCGGAAUCGCUAGUAAUCGCGGAUCAGCAUGCCGCGGUGAAUACGUUCCCGGGCCUUGUACACACCGCCCGUCACACCACGGAAGUUGAUAGUGCCCGAAGUAGCUGGUCUAACCCUUGUGGAGGAAUGCUACGAAGGCAAGAUUGAUAACUGGGGUGAAGUCGUAACAAGGUAGCCGUACCGGAAGGUGCGGCUG